AAAUUAAAAAAGGUCAAAAUCAGGAGCUCCCUAUUGUGUCUCUCCUCUCUCCCGUUUCUUCUUCACGAAGCAGCCCCAAUCGUCUCUCUCUCGAUCGACGAAUUUCAGACCAGCGAGCUCAGCAGAUCAACGAGGCGUCCGGCGGUGGCAAAGCUCCGGCGGCGAGCCCAGGCGACGGCGGCGAGACAGACCGGCGGCUCCUCUGUCUCUCGUCUUCUUCGCGACCAACGGCAGCGGUGACCUUCCUCUCUCGUUGACGGUCGAUGGCGGCGUCUUCCCUCCUCCGGCGUGGCAGCUUGGACGACAGUGGUGGUGGCCGGAGCAGCGUUGGUCGAAACCAGAGAAGCAGCAGGACUAAUGUGGUUUAAUCUUGGAUUAGGAAGUGAAUGAAGGUUGAUUAUGGAGGAUAAAUGAGGAUGAUGAUUAGGAUGGAUGAUAUUAGUAAUUUAAUAUUAAAGCAUGCUUAUGGAUAAUGUUGAUAGUGGUUAAGUGGGUAAUUAGUGUUAAUAAUCAUGGGUUAUGGAGUAUUAAGAUCACUACUAAUAAUUGUAGAUUAUGGUUCAUUGCUAAUUAAAGGUUAGGAAUUUAUUUAUGGAUUUGUGACUAUGGUGAUUAUUGAUCAUGAUGAUUAGGGAUUGAUAUUGGUGUUAUUUUCGCAUUUGAAAUAGUAUGAGUUCAUAUUUAAAAGUUUGUAAAUGGUAAUGUAGUUUUAGGAGGUGUUGAGAAUGUAUUUUUGGAGCUGUGGCAGUAUAGAAUUUCGGGUUCCAAGAAGUCUGCAAUUUCCUUUGGUGAACAGGACUGAACAACAGUCUUAUUUACUUGUUUUCUUAUCAAGUUACCAAGAGCAGUAGCAUUGGAAUGGUUAAGGCCUUGUCUUGCAAGGGGAGUGUUUGGGGUUCGAGACUUACUAUUAGUAUCCUCAUAUGUUUUUUAAAUAUUGCUUAGAAAAUAGUUUAUUUGUCUAAAGUGAGAAUUGAACUUUAAACCUCAUACUUACUUUUAACAUAUUGAGUUCUUUCCAAUUAAGCUAAUUCCAUCCUUUAAAAGUAUCUUGGUUUAAUGAAUUAUAUUAUUAGUGAUGUGAUUAUUAGCUAUUAAUUAAUUAAUGAUGAUUAAGGCAAAUGGUGGGCUGAUUAUGGAAUAUUAAUCAAUGAUGAUGGUUAAUAUUAAUGAUUAGUUGAUGGUAUUAUGGACUAAGUAUGAAUUAAGAGCAUUAAUGAUAACUACGUUCUAAUGGGUGUGUUAUGAAGGUGAUUAGCAUGAUGGUGAUGACGGUUAGUUAAUAAUAUGUAAUUAUUGAUGAUAAUAGGAUUGAUUAUGGUAAUGAUAUAAUAGUGUGGAUGAUGGGUAAUGAUGUUGAGAAUAUUGAGUUAGUGGUGGUUGAUGGGUUUCUGAUAUUAUGAUGCUUAUAAUUAACGGUGAUGAUGAGUUGUGAUGUUGUGGUUAUGGAGACCAAAUGAUAAUGGAUGUGAUAACGGGUCCUUACAUGAAAGGAGAUGAUGUUGAAAGUAGGACAAUGGUUCAUGGAUUAAUGGAAGGAUGGUGAUGAAAGGUUUGAUGUGGGAAAAGAGAUAAUAUGGGAAUAUCUAUGAUGUUGAGAAAGUAAAAAUGUUAAUGAUAGCAUUGGUAACUGAAUAAAGAUUUGGAUUGGUUCUCAGGUUCCCCGUUGAAGUGACUAGUCUAAAGAGUUGAGCCUAGGAUCGGGUGAUUGUUUUUGAGAGGUUUGGCUUUGAGGAUUUGAGUAAGCAAUUGAUCAAGAGCGCGCUAGUAUCCAUUACGAGCUGAUGGUAGAGCAAAUGUUUUUUCGAAUGGUAGUUUAGUUUCAUUCAUUGUGUUAAGGUUUUGUAGUUGAGAAUUCCUUGUAAUUGAGUUUGGAUAGUGAUAAAGCUUUAUUGGAAUAUUGAAGUUUGUAAUAAAGGUUUAGCCUGAGCAUCUAAUCUAGGAUGAUUAGGUGUGGCGGUAACACCUCUUUGAGGAUAAUUGUAUGGUCAUUAUGGUUAACUUGGAUUGUAAAAAUUGGGGUGUUA